rnacentral:lncRNA from 1 species
AGUGCGAUACCUAUUCCUUUGUCCAUAUCUCCUUUUGAGAUGCCAAUGGAAGCAUUAAAUCCUCUGAAUCC